AUACGUAGGUGGCAAGCGUUGUCCGGAAUUAUUGGGCGUAAAGCGCAUGUAGGCGGUUUGGUAAGUCGGUCGUGAAAAUGCGGUGCUUAACGCCGUAUGGCGAUCGAAACUGGUGAACUUGUGUGCAGGAGAGGAAAGGGGAACUCCCAGUGUAGCGGGGAAAUGCGUAGAUAUUGGGAAGAACACCGGUGGCGAAGGCGCCUUUCUGGACUGUGUCUGACGCUCAGAUGCGAAAGCCAGGGUAGCGAACGGGAUUAGAUACCCCGGUAGUCCUGGCCGUAAACGAUGGGUACUAGGUGUGGGAGGUAUCGACUCCUUCCGUGCCGGAGUUAACGCAAUAAGUACCCCGCCUGGGAAGUACGGCCGCAAGGCUUAAACUCAAAGGAAUUGACGGGG
rnacentral:rRNA from 1 species